GUGCCAGCAGCCGCGGUAAAACGUAGGAGGCGAGCGUUAUCCGGAUUUACUGGGCGUAAAGCGCGCGCAGGCGGCUUCGUAAGUUGGACGUGAAAGCUCCUGGCUUAACUGGGAGAGGCCGUUCGAUACUGCGGGGCUUGAGGUUGGGAGAGGGGUGUGGAAUUCCCGGUGUAGUGGUGGAAUGCGUAGAUAUCGGGAGGAACACCUGUGGCGAAAGCGGCACCCUGGCCCACACCUGACGCUGAGGUGCGAAAGCGUGGGGAGCAAACAGGAUUAGAAACCCUGGUAGUCC
rnacentral:rRNA from 1 species